rnacentral:rRNA from 1 species
UAUGAAGCUUUACUGUAGCCUGAUAUUGAGUUUGGGUUUAAUUUGUGCAGAAUAGGUGGGAGACAAAGAUAGUAUACUUGUGGGUAUGCAGGAGUCUUCAGUGAGAUACCACUCUAAUUAAACUAGAACUCUAACCUUGAAGCCGUUAACCGGCCAAGGAACAGUUUCAGGUGGGCAGUUUGACUGGGGCGGUCGCCUCCUAAAAAGUAACGGAGGCGCGCAAAGGUUCUCUCAGACUGGUCGGAAAUCAGUCGUAGAGUGUAAAGGCAUAAGAGAGCUUGACUGCGAGACCUACAAGUCGAGCAGAGACGAAAGUCGGCCUUAGUGAUCCGACAGU